AACAGGAUUAGAUACCCUGGUAGUCCAUGCCGUAAACGAUGUCUACUAGCCGUUGGGGCCUUUGAGGCUUUAGUGGCGCAGCUAACGCGAUAAGUAGACCGCCUGGGGAGUACGGUCGCAAGACUAAAACUCAAAUGAAUUGACAGGGGCCCGCACAAGCGGUGGAGCAUGUGGUUUAAUUCGAUGCAACGCGAAGAACCUUACCUGGCCUUGACAUACUAAGAACUUUCCAGAGAUGGAUUGGUGCCUUCGGGAACUUAGAUACAGGUGCUGCAUGGCUGUCGUCAGCUCGUGUCGUGAGAUGUUGGGUUAAGUCCCGCAACGAGCGCAACCCUUUUCCUUAUUUGCCAGCGGGUAAUGCCGGGAACUUUAAGGAUACUGCCAGUGACAAACUGGAGGAAGGCGGGGACGACGUCAAGUCAUCAUGGCCCUUACGGCCAGGGCUACACACGUGCUACAAUGGUCGGUACAAAGGGUUGCUACCUCGCGAGAGGAUGCUAAUCUCAAAAAGCCGAUCGUAGUCCGGAUCGCAGUCUGCAACACGACUGCGUGAAGUCGGAAUCGCUAGUAAUCGCGGAUCAGAAUGCCGCGGUGAAUACGUUCCCGGGCCUUGUACACACCGCCCGUCACACCAUGGGAGUUUGUUGCACCAGAAGUAGGUAGUCUAACCGUAAGGAGGACGCUUACCACGGUGUGGCCGAUGACUGGGGUGAAGUCGUAACAAGGUAACC
rnacentral:rRNA from 1 species